GUCCAGUUAGGCAAACUAGAGUUAUCAUUGCUCUAUGACUCCUUUGCUGGUGCACUUCAUUGUUCACUUCACAGAGCAAAAGGAUUGAAACCAAUGGAUAUAAAUGGGCUAUCAGAUCCAUUUUGCAGACUUAGUCUCAUACCAGCAGAAGGAAGGUCCAAUACAUUAAGAACUAAAACAGUCCACAAAACAAGAAACCCAGAGUUUAAUGAAACUCUCACAUUUUAUGCAGUAUCAGAGGAAGAG